GCUGGAUAUUAUUAUCUAUGAGAGAGAACUGCUUGGCCCACGAUGAGAGAGAACUGGUAGAGAAGUGCUAAAAGUAAGUGUAAGUUAACAAGCCUCCUCGUUGAGCAGCCGCCUGAGCUUUCUCUUUGUUUAGAAUUGAAAGAGAAGUUUUUGAUAGUGGGGUGCGUGGUGUAUUAAAAGUGGAUAUAGACCCCGGACAAGAAAGCCUUUUCUUAAGCAC
rnacentral:lncRNA from 1 species